GUGCCAGCGCCGCGGUAAUACGUAGGACACGAGCGUUAUCCGGAUUUACUGGGCGUAAAGCGCCUGUAGGCGGUUUCGUAAGUCGGAUGUGAAAGCCCCAGGCUUAACCUGGGGAGGCCAUUCGAUACUGCGGGACUUGAGGGUAGCAGAGGGGAGUGGAAUUCCCGGUGUAGCGGUAAAAUGCGCAGAUAUCGGGAGGAACACCAGUGGCGAAGGCGGCUCCCUGGGCUACUCCUGACGCUGAGAGGCGAAAGCUAGGGGAGCGAACAGG
rnacentral:rRNA from 1 species